rnacentral:rRNA from 1 species
GAUGAACGCUAGCUACAGGCUUAACACAUGCAAGUCGAGGGGCAGCAUGAUUGAAGCUUGCUUCAAUCGAUGGCGACCGGCGCACGGGUGAGUAACACGUAUCCAACCUGCCGAUAACUCGGGGAUAGCCUUUCGAAAGAAAGAUUAAUACCCGAUAGUAUAGUAUUUCCGCAUGGUUUCACUAUUAAAGAACUUCGGUUAUCGAUGGGGAUGCGUUCCAUUAGAUAGUUGGCGGGGUAACGGCCCACCAAGUCAACGAUGGAUAGGGGUUCUGAGAGGAAGGUCCCCCACAUUGGAACUGAGACACGGUCCAAACUCCUACGGGAGGCAGCAGUGAGGAAUAUUGGUCAAUGGACGAGAGUCUGAACCAGCCAAGUAGCGUGAAGGAGGACUGCACUAUGGGUGGUAAACUUCUUUUAUACGGGAAUAAAGUGGAGUAUGCAUACUCCUUUGUAUGUACCGUAUGAAUAAGGAUCGGCUAACUCCGUG